rnacentral:rRNA from 1 species
UGAACGCUAGCGGCGAGGCUUAACACAUGCAAGUCGAGGGGGUAUAGUUCUUCGGAAUUAGAGACCGGCGCACGGGUGCGUAACGCGUAUGCAAUCUACCUUUCACAGAGGGAUAGCCCAGAGAAAUUUGGAUUAAUACCUCAUAGUAUAGCAGUUUCGCAUGAAACCACUAUUAAAGUCACAACGGUGAAAGAUGAGCAUGCGUCCCAUUAGCUAGUUGGUAAGGUAACGGCUUACCAAGGCAACGAUGGGUAGGGGUCCUGAGAGGGAGAUCCCCCACACUGGUACUGAGACACGGACCAGACUCCUACGGGAGGCAGCAGUGAGGAAUAUUGGACAAUGGGCGCAAGCCUGAUCCAGCCAUGCCGCGUGCAGGAUGACGGUCCUAUGGAUUGUAAACUGCUUUAUACAGGAAGAAACACUACUUCGUGAAGUAGCUUGACGGUACUGUAAGAAUAAGGAUCGGCUAACUCCGUG